ensembl:lncRNA
CUCAGAAGGGGUAAUUAAUUAAAGGGGCAAUAGUUGGCAACUAUCUUUUCAAAUUGUGUAAAUAUUUGAUGGGAUGUUUUGUUGUUGUUGUUUAGUCACUCAGUCAUGUCCAAUUCUUUGCGACUCCAUGGACUGCAGCCCACCAGGCUCCUCUGUCCAUGAGAUAUCUCAACCAAGAAUACUGGAAUGGGUCGCCAUUUCCUUCUCCAGGGGAUCUUCCUGACCUGGGGAUUGAAUCUGUGUCUCUUGCACUGGCAGGUGAAUUCUUUACCGCUGAGCUGGAUGAGAUGUUUACAUGGACAAAAAGAUUGAGAAGCAAAAACACAAUGAGAAAGUGUAUUUUUGGCCUAGAAAAUGUUAUUAUCAAAUACUGGAGAAGGGCAUGGUGACCUACUCCAGCAUUCUUCCCUGGAGAAUCCCAUGGACAGAGGCGCCUGGCAGGCUGUAGUCCAGAGGGUUGUACAGAAUCAGACAUAACUGAAGCGACUGAGCACACGUUACCAAAUAUUGUUCUGCUGUGUUGCUGAAGCUUAUGAAGACGGCCCUGGAGCUUUUUCAGAGUUGUUUUACUUUAUGAAUAACUGUUUAAUUGUCCACUUGUUGGAGAACAGAUGCUGGGAUCUCCUA